AUCUAUUUUGAAUGAUGAGAUUCGAUUUGCCACCAUGUAUGUUAGAAGGAAAUGCCAAGUUGAAAAUGGAAAAGUAGGGCUCACAUUUUGAUAUUCCAAAUUUACGCUUCCCAGAAGUUCCCAAUCAUUACACACCGUUUCAACUCAGCGGUUCACCCUACCCGCCACCGCCACUGCCACUCUCCUCUCUUUCCUUUCUUUUUCUUUGUUCUCUGGUUAGGCAGCCAUUGUUGUGAACUCCGUCACUUCAGUUUACUUCCCCCCCUAAAACCUUCCUACCAACUCUUACCUUUAAAAGAAAUGAUAUCAGUGGUUUCGUGGGUUCCUAAAGGGGCUUGCAAGCCUCUUCCAGUCCUGGAAGUUCCUCCCACCAAUAAAUCUUCCUACCAACUCUCCACCGUUAUUCUGCUUACAGUCUACAUGAUGAACACUCGUGGGCUUUUUAUUGACGAGCUGCUACCAUGUGUGGAGUUAGGUGGAAUUGUUGAGAAGAAGAAGGGAAUUAUUUCUCCUUUUUUUAUGAUCCACUGUUAAUUUUCCCUAUAACAAACAUGAAUAUACUAGCUAGUGCAAGUGCUGGUAAGCAAGUCAAGAUUUGGGACAUAUCUACUGCACAAUGUGAUGUAACUAUGCAGCAUCAAACAGACAAGGUUCAAGCUGUAGCAUGGAUUAUCAUUCGUAACAAUCUUUUGAUUAUUCAGUAUUUUUGGUAAUAAGAGAUAUUUUCUACUGAGGUUUUUGCACUUUCUUGUGGGAUUAUAAUACUCCACCCCUCUCUCUCUCUCUCUCUCAGUUAAUCUUCACAUGAUUUCUCAUCAUAGCUUGAAUUUUCUGGUUUUAUGUUUUUAUGUAAUUAAGAAAGAUGCAAGAAACCCUUCCCAUUCAGGUUAAAAGUGGCUAGUUACAGCAGAUGUGGAGAGCUUGGCAUGGGAUCCACAUACGGAGCACAUGUUUGUGGUGUGUAUUCCUGCUUCUUGCACAGAUCUAGUUUUGAACAUUCUUUUUCCUGGCUUCGCAAUGCGCUCAAUAUUGUUCAGGUGAGCCUAGAGGAUGGCAGAGUGAAAGGUUUUGACAUCUGGAAUGCCACCACAGAGACUAGCUCUGAAUCAAAAGCAAGUUUUACUCUCCAUGCGCAUCAGAAAUCUGUGUCUCUGUUUCUUACAAUCCCUUGGCACCUAAUCUACUUGCAACUGGAUCUACUGACAAAAUGGUUAAAUUAUGGGACUUCAUGAAAUGACCCAGUUUUCUGAUUGUUGUUGAAAAUACAAUCCCUUGGCACCUAAGUCCAAUAAUGAACCUUCAUGUGUGGCAUCCACAAAUCUUAAAGCAGUUAAGUAAUAUGAUUUCCGUGGUUAAAGUUAUGCACAUAGCAUGUCGUGGACUUCUAACAAUCAUUUCUUUAUGUUCUAAUUGUUUCAGGGAGCUGUGUUUUUGGUUUCCUUCUCCGAAUAUUGUCCCUUUUUGCUGGGUAUUGGAGGCUCCAAGGACAAAUUGGAGGCGUAGAAUACACUAUCUGAUGCUGCAGUCUCUCGGAAGUUUGGAAAGUAUAGGCAGCGGAUAUCUUAAAUUGUGAAUUGACUGAGUUAUAACAAAUAUAGUUGAGAAAUUGUGUUUGUGUAGUUAGUUUUGCGAUCUUAUUUUGUGUUUGUAUUUGAUGGUGAAUGCCCACCGUGGCGUCAAAUUCAGAAAUGUUUUUUUGAAAAAUUAAUGCAUCCUUGGAGCUCUUGACCAA